rnacentral:lncRNA from 1 species
AUGGUGGCCAGGCCACAGCCACCCGGACGUUUGCGAGCGCCGAAGGUGGGCCUGGAGGCGGGGACCUGGCCCUGCGGGGCCGGUGCGUGCGGGGCCCGGCUGAGCCGCCGGCUCCACCGGCAAGGAACCGGGCUCCCGCCUUCCCUGCCACACCGGGAGUGUGUGAGGGGGGACCCUCGGCCGGCAGGGGGCGCUCUCGGCCACUCCAUCCGCCCGGUCACCGCGGGAUCCCGCUGCUCCAGCCCGCCGGUGCCGCCGUCCCGCCUCCUCCCUCAGCCCAGCUCUGCCUCCGCCUUCGCUCCCCGACCCCUCCCUUCUCCCUCUCAGUCCCGCAGGGAAGCUGGGCUGGGCGAGAGGGUGUCUCCUGGGUCCACCGUGGAAGCCCGAGGCGCGGGUGCGGAGCCAGCCCAGGGCUGCCGGCGUGAGCUGCAGGGCUGGCCUGGUGCUCAUCCUCUGCCCGGGGCGCGGGAAAGGCGAGGGACGCUGUGCUGGAUCUGUGUGCUCAGUGGCCACGCGUCGGCCUCAGGAACGGGAACGAGGCGAGAGACACAGAUGUGGGUGAUUUCCCUGUGGAAGCUGUACCCGAGGCCGUGGGAGUGGAGGGCACUGGGCUGCGAAUGGAGACAGGAUGCCCCGAGGGCCCGGGAGCGGGAGGUGGAGGGGGUCCCAGACGGCAGGGGCUCGGAGUGGGAGGCAGCGGGACUGAGAGAGCCGCGCCAGGGCCGCAGGGGUGCGCAGGGAGCUUCCUGCCCUUUGCACCUCAGGCUCCGGGAGCUGAUUUGUUUCACCUUGGGCAGGUGCAGGAUCUGCGCUUGCAGCCACCUUACUUCGUGGGCUGUACCUGAGGUGACAGGCAGGGUCUUCUCUGAUGAAGUUACCCACACGAGUCACCACGGGAUGACGGUGAGCAGGUGCCACGGAAGGUGUGUAAAAAUCGCUCCAGUGGUGAAUUGGAAACUUGCAGUGCCAGGAAGUGCUUCCACAGGCUUAAUGCAUCUCUGCUCCUUCUUUUUUCAGAAAAAUUCAAAGUGUUUAGAUGGGGGAUGCUGAGAGAGAAGCCGGCUUGCUGGGAGGUGCGAGCCCAGAGCACACGCUCCACCUAGACUGUGGGCAGUGCCCCACCAUGAGGAGCUCAGCAGUUUCUUCACGUGGUGUUUUCCACCAUGCAAAAACAUCCAAGAUCUAUUGUUUAUGUAGCUUGUACUUAGGGUCAGGCCCCGGUUCAAUUCCUAACAUUGACAUUUUGUAUUUGUGUGACUAAUACACGUGUUAUUAAGAAAGUUACUACUGUCUUUAAGAUGCAGUUUCCUCAUCUGUGAAAUGGAAUAUUUGUGUAUUCCAUAUGUUAUAUAAUAUUACUGCCUGCUUAACCUUGGCCUAGUGUUUGAAGGACACAAAUCCUGAGUCCAGCACAGAGCAGGUGCUUGAUGAAUACCCCAGACACGGAGGAAGGCAGCAUCUGGAUUCCAAGUUCUUUUCCUGUAUAUACAUUUAUAUCUCUCUGAAUAGGCAUCUGCGCGUGUUUCUUUUAUUAUAGACAGGUUGUCUGAUCUCAAUCCGUUAGAGAUGGGGUAGCCUUAGGGACCCUCUGGUCCCACAUCUCACUGUACAGGGGAUGCAGGAUUUGCCAAGGUCCUACCCAUUAGUGAGUAGCAGAGCCUGGAUGAGUUCCUCGGAUCAGGAGGAGGCGGUGUGCUCCUGUCCUCCUGUGAGAUGAAGCCAUUCUUAAUCCCAGCCUCGGAUCAGGAGGAGGGGCUGUGCUCCUGUUCUCCUGUGAGAUGAAGCUGUGCUCAACCCCGGCCUCGGAUCAGGAGGAGGGGCUGUGCUCCUGUCCUCCUGUGAGAUGAGGCCAUGCUCAAUCCCAGGACAGGUGCAGGCGAUUGCUUUCACCUUCUAACUUUAGAAUCUGGAGAGUCUGCAUAGCUCCUACUUUCGAAGCUGCCUCAGAGAGUCUUUGUUAUUGCAAAAUGCGUGUGGGCAGGCUGGACCAGGCAGUGGAUCUUGUUGUUUUGUUAGGGAGAAAGGAAAACUGAAGUUCCAUCACCUGCCAGUUAGUCUUGGUCUACCUCCAACCCAAACUUGGGCUCAGUGAAGCAGAUUAAUAAAGCAAUGGGGCAUCUCUGGCUGCUGCGAGCACCAUGAAUAUGCAUGCAGUGCAGGCCACCGGCUGGAACGCUUUUCCCACCCUGGAAUUCGCCAGUCACGUUUCUACUCUCUGGGUUUCUUUCUAAGUUGAAAGAUUCUGGAAUUGUGGAGCUGGAAGGGAUAUUAGUGAAGACCAUCUGGUCCAGUGUCCUCAUUUUACAGAUGAGCUAACUGAGGCCAGAGGGGAAGGGCCACUCCAGGGCACACUGCGAAUGGCUCACAAACCCAGGACCAGGCCAGAUCUCGCAGCUCUUGCUCCAGAGGAUGCUUAGUGCCUGCAGUGCUUAGGGCACUCAUUUUUUUUGCUGAAUUUUGUUUAUUGAGACCAUAUGGAAAGCGAGUUGAGGCUGAAGUUACAUGCAUUCAGGACCAAGAGAAAGCAAUUGAUCACAAGAUCCUUCUGUGUUGGGCCACUGAGCAAAUCGUGGGGUCACCCUCUCUCUUAGCAGUACAGGCUAUGUCGAUAUGAUGAUAUCACCUUAGAGCUAAUGAAAUGCAUUCCUGAGAAAUAAAAUGAUCGUUUCUGUUUUCUGCAGAGCAAUUCCAAAUGAGAGAAGCAAUAACACUUUUUAUGACCUAUUCAAAUCACUCUCAUUUCACUAAACAACCUUCACACCUGUGGCAGUUCUUGCUUCCCUCGCAGGGGAACUACCCUGAUGUCGGAGAAAACUAUCCUUGAGUGAGGCCUGACACUGUGCCUGUGAUGAUGUGAGCCAUCUGCAAAAUUCACCGUGGAGGACAGAAUGCCACUUAGGCUAAAGCAGGAGGAAGGGGCCUAUAAUUCUCGUCAUCUUUUGUUUGAAUGCAAACGAAACUACAGCCCAGGAAAUAAAUUCAAUGUACUUUGACAAAACAUGGGUAAUCUUACCAGCAUAGUCUCACGUGGAGAAAGGUGACCACCUAAACUAAGAAUCAACAAAAAUCAAACAAAAUGAAACAUGUUGUUUAGAAAUGCAUUCAUUUGUGAUAAAACUGUUUUUAAAAAGCAAGAACAUGAUAGACACCCAAUUUGGGAUAGUGGCCAUGUUUAGAGGGCUGCAGGGGGGAUGCUGUGUAGGAGAGGCACAGAAAAUUGGUGUUGUUUGUAAAUUCGGGGGUGAGUUAAAAAAGUAGGGAAGAAGGAAGAUACCAAACCAACUUCUGGACAGAACUUCUGACUUUGUAGCAGCCUUGCAGUCUUUAUUAAGCAAGAUGCGUUAUGCCAAUGAUUUCAGAUAAUUUACUAGCAAGAGGAUACUCGAUUCUAUCUUGUUUACGAAUGAAAACUCCAAAAUAAAUGAGGCUCUGUGCCGCGGCACCUCGUUAUUUCUUGUUCUGCAGUGA